rnacentral:lncRNA from 1 species
AGAAAAGUGAAAAUGUAAUUUACCGGGGUUCAGCUAGGACGCCCAUCUUGUUCUAAAUCCAACAAGUUGAUCACAUGUGAGGGGCCCCAGCGUACCCUAAAAUAUAUCCAUUAAUUCCCAGAGAUUAAAAUCCAUGUGCUUAAAAACAACCACAACAAAAAUACCAGCUGCCUUUUGAAAGCAAGGGCGUUGGGAAAUGAAUGGAAUCUCAUGCUCCUGCUCUGUGUUCAAGAGCUUCGAUGGCUACUGUGUUACAUCAGGAAUGGCCAGUGCCUGGACCCCACCCUCCCCCACUCCCUUUUAAUUCAAUGGCUACGUGGGGGCUUCUUUGAUGGAGGCUUUGAAGUCGGUGGCUUUGAGAUUACUCUUCCUCUGUGACCUUGACCACCAGCCAUGAGAGCCGAGAACACAGCCAAGCCAGCAGGGAGAGUCUGUCGUUGAAGCCUAGAUCUCAUUGGAAUGACGUAAUGCAUUCACACAUACAGAGGAAGAGAAAUGAAUGCUUACUGCGGCUACCCUGCUCAGCCCCCAAGUAGCCAGGGGGGGAAAAAUCACAUGGGCAGUGACAGAGAGAGGACCCAAGGAACUGUUUGUUUUCCCCUAGGUCUAAAGCCAAAACAAAGAGAUGGAUUGGUCACAAAUUGGGCUGCACCUGCAUCUUUACUAGCAUCUUCAACAACCAACCCUGACUCUGAUGAGAGCCAAGCUCCUAGGUAUACUAGAAGUAGAAUAUGAGAGUUAAUUGGUUGAGAAGGUUGCAAACAACUUGAGAGAGAGAGAGAGAGAGAGAGAGCAAAGAAUGCAAUAAUCAGGGGAGAAAAAGACAAAAAAGAAGAUCUAGCAAAAAUCAAAUACAAAUUAAAAGUCUCCCUGGAGCGUUGUUGCAACGACACCAGGCUGGAUGGUCAACAAAUAACCAGUGAACUCAGCAAGAAAGUUUGAAUUAUCCUAAAUUGGGGUGGGCUGCACAGCUGCCUGGAAUUUCAGUAUACAUUUGUUUAGGCAGCUCCCAGAUUACUUCUUUCUUCUCACCCCCUGUCUGUGAGCUUCCUUUUGAUGGGGGCAAUGACAAGAAGCUCUAGGUGGCAUCAGUUGGAGAGGCCUGGAGACCUGCCAGGGCCACAUCAUAUAUCACUCAAGAAAGCCCUGGAGUAUAUGCUGACUCAGGGCUAAAGUUUUACCGAGGAGAACAGACAUGCAAGCAUCAAGCCAUGGGGGGGUGGGGCACCAACAAAAAGAGGGUUUCCUGAAGGAUGAGGACAGGCAGACACAAUCUACCCUCGGAACAAUAAGCCAGGAUUACACCUGCACGCUUCUAGGCCAUUGUAUACAGUCUGACUCUGAGUAUCACCUCUCAUAUGGAAAGGGAACUUGGUCUGGUUGUCUAUCGUAAAGAGUGUUGUUAGGCUCAUCUGCAAUGGCACACCAAAGCUAUGAUCAUGAUUGUUGAUCAGGUAAGACACCUCUGACAUUCACCCAGAACAAUAUUAUCUGUCCCUGACCUCCGAGACUGAUCUCCUCAGUUGUGAGAGUAUGUGAUUGAUUUAUUAUUUCCACUGUUACAUGAGAAAUAAUGCUCCCCCUUUUAAUUUGCUCAGAUUGCGGUCAUUGGAGGGACUAGUGAGCCGGUGGCAAUGACAUCUUCACAGUGAAAUCCCUAUUGAUAGUUCUCCAUCGAUCUCUCUUUCCACAUCCAUCACAGUUGCUUUAAAGUUCCUGAAAAUUGACCAAUACUCCCUACCUGACAGUUCCCCUUACCCAUAAUUCAUUUCUUUCAGUGUCCGUGUCUUGAAGCAGUCAGUGAAGGCUUAUCGCUAUAGCUAUCUACCUUUGUCUGUACACAUAUAUGCACACAGUACCUGCCUCCAUGGCAUACCAAACCUUCUGGAAAUAAUGCACAAUUAAUUCUCUUGGCUGCACUUCAAACAAGCUCAAAAGGGAUAUUUUCCCUGUUUUCUGGAUGAAAGGCAGAGGCCCAUUCGUUCAUGGGAAGAGCACUACAAGGAUUUACACUGACUUUUCUGGCAGCCCAGGCCUUGCACACGUUAUACAGCAGUCUUCUUUACUCCCCUGUGGAAGAAUUAAACACAUCUCCUUCUACUUUCUACAUUGGACUGUGGAAAGUGGCAGAUCUGUGCUAAAUGACCCUGUGGAUUGAGGGGGACUAGAGUCUUAAUCUUUUGCCGAUCUCUGGCUUACACUUUCUGAAGCUGGCUUGUUUGACUAGUAAAUCAACUCUGUGUCGAUCCAGUUCCCUGCAUUUAGGCCAUGAUUACUCCCCAGCCACAAGAGAAGGAACCUGGUGCUCGGCAAGUCUAUCAUCUACCUCUCAGGCAUGGUGCUAGACCGUAAGAAUAAAUUCAAAGAGCUCAGGGAAAGAGAGUGUGCCUGCAACCUGCUCUCAGCCCAAUAGUCGAAGGUAGAUGAUUAGAUGUCAUUAGAAGAGCCUCUCUAAGCCCCGGGACAUAAUUAACAGAAUGGUGACCACCUGCUGUCAGGUGCCAGCAUUGGGGGUAAUUAGUAAGCCCAGUACCUAAGGAUCACAAGGUCUAAGAAAGGAAAGAAGCAGAGAGAAAGACAGAGAGAGAGAGAGAGAGAGAGAGAGAGAGAGAGAGAGAGAGAGAGAGAGAGAGAGAGAGAGAGAGAACACAUUCAAAAAGGCAGAGUGAAAUCCCAGAAGAAUCUGAGAGUUUAGAACAGCAAUCUGGAAGAAAUCAAUCGGGUCCUUUAGGAGCUGCUGAUGUCACAGCAGCUAAGCCAGCGAAGUGUCACUGAACCUGAGCACCUAGGGAUGUUGGCUGACCUACUCACAGCCCAAAGCCACUGUCACUGUGCAGCAGGGUCUGUCGUUUAGCAUCUUACAAAUAAAGGAAAGGAAAGCAAUCGAUAUGCAACAUGACGAAAGCCUGGGAGAGCCAAACCCGGUUGGCAGGUCACAGGCCCGAGAGAGGCGAGAGAGACAAAAAGGGCCUGGAGAUGUCAGCCUCAGAUUUCUCAAGCCACACAAAGGCUGUUGGCUUUCAAUACACACUGCUUGCCUCUGUUCAUGGGAGAAAGGGGAACAAGGUGGUCAGUGUUAAAGGAAAGAGGGGGACAAGCGCCUGACGACAGUCUUGGAGCUGAAUUUAAAAACAUCAAAUUAGAGGCAUGUGCGCUGAAAUGAGGCUCCGCUGCCUGGGAACGCACCUCCCUAAACAAAUGCAGCAAUUACGACGGCUGGUGCUUUGGCUCCCGGGUAGCACAUUGAACACUGAUGGGGGCCAGCGAGCCCACUCAUUUCCCAAAUCGCCCCUUUCACAACAUCUCCACGGGAAAGUUAGGCCUGUCAGCUCGCUGCUUUGAUGGCCACUAAUACGACAUCGCUCCAGGAGGACAAAGCUUAGUGUAUGUUUCGACACUGUUCACUUAGCAUGUUCCGCAGCCAGCAAGAGUUCCUAGCAGAAAUCUCUCUGUCUUUUAUCUUUAACAUUUUAAAGGCUCAAAUCAACUUACUAAUAUUACGAACCUAGACUUCAUAAUAGUAUGUACACACACACACACACACACACACACACACACACAGAUGCUCCUAAGAAUUGUACCAAAUGGUGGCCCUGCAUCCAUACAUAGCAGUCUAGAUUUUCUCUGAAAUUCAGAACCAACUGACCCAAGCACUCACUCACAGGGCCCUGGAGUUGAUACUGUAGCUACCAGGCUACAUUCUUGACUUCCUCCCUAACAUGGAGUUCCCAUAAACUCUGUUGUUGUUGUUGUCUUGUUUCUGGAUCUCUGGGUUUCUUUUAACAUCCAGCUCCUAGGACCCCUGAGUUGGCCUUACUCCUACCCUGCUCUCACUCCAUGUCUCCUGCCUUGUCUUAUCUUCCUAGUCAAGGCUUCCAACUGCUUUUUGUAAGCAGUCAUUGUUCAGGGUCUUGGUGUGACCUGAAUAUAUUAGGAAGGUGGCAGGAGAUCAGGGAAGGAGAAAAGAAAGAAAAACAGCAGAGCAGAAAAUGCUCUGUGUGCAAGGUCUUUCCCAACAGAAAGCAGUUUCCUCAGGAGUUAACAGUGAUGGAGUUUGUUGGGUGGGUUUUAAUGUGUUCUGUCCUGAGCUUCUUGUUUCAAAAGACUUCACAACCAACAUAAGUGAGGCUACUGUAAUACAGUGCUAGCAAAAAAUGGAGGCUAUUACAUAAAUAUGAAAGAGUAGGGGUUCCUAAUAAUUACCCUAAUAUUUGUUCCUUUCAGUAACAGACUUUGCCCUGAAUAGAGUUGGGUGGUAGCCCCAGCCUCAUUACUAACAAAGUUCCCAGCCUCAUCUAUCACAAAAAAUACUUUCAUACUCAAAUCAAAGAAACAUGUAACUGCCAAGUCAUCAGAGAUACAGGGACAAGGACUGUGGGUUAAAGGUCAGAGGGCUAGGAGCUGUGAAGAAAAAAAAUAAUCACAACAUACCCAAGAGAAGUAAACUGAUUCAAAAGUAUGUAAGAACAAGUAAGUUUCUGCUACCUUCCAGUGGGCCCAAUGUGAGCAGACACCUUGUGCUUCCAAUAUCAUGCAUCCCCUACACUAGAUUCUCUACACUGUAACCUUAAAUAAACUGUCAUUCCCUCAAA